rnacentral:tRNA from 1 species
GGCCGCCUGGCUCGACCGGAUGGUGCGCCGGUCGGUGGAGCGGAGCGACCCGAGGGCGUUCCGCGCCUGGUUCGACUCCUGGGCCGGUGA